AUUGAACGCUGGCGGCAGGCCUAACACAUGCAAGUCGAACGCGUGGCGGACGGGUGUGUAAUGUCUGGGAAACUGCCUGAUGGAGGGGUGUCACUACUGGAAACGGUCUCUAACACCGUAUCCUCUCGGAUGCGCCCAGAUGGGAUUAGCUAGUAGGGGGGGUAACGUCUCACCUAGGCGACGAUCCCUAGCUGGUCUGAGAGGAUGACCAGCCACACUGGAACGGAGACACGGUCCAGACUCCUACGGGAGGCAGCAGUGGGGAAUAUUGCACAAUGGGCGCAAGCCUGAUGCAGCCAUGCCGCGUGUGUGAAGAAGGCCUUCGGGUUGUAAAGUACUUUCAGCGGGGAGGCGUUACCCGCAGAAGAAGCACCGGCUAACUCCGUGCCAGCAGCCGCGGUAAUAC
rnacentral:rRNA from 1 species